AGCUGUGCAAUCCCACUCCUCAAUUGAUUUCGUAGUUGGUAUAUCUGUUUUACCACCUUCAGAUUUAAGAAGCAUGUUCCGUACCGUGAUACUGUCAUCCCAUGGAAUGAAUCCUGGUCUUACAGCAACCUUGCUGUCCCACAUGGUGAUAAAAAUUUGACGCAACACCUUGGGAAACUCAUCAAGAACAAGUGUAGAAAACUUAAAAAAAUUCAAUUGUUCCUUCGGAAAUGGUUUCACUGCCAUCGUGGUGCAAAAUCUAGGCCAUUUAAUUUCUUUCUGUACCAACUAUCU